UUCAGUGAUGUGUUGAUGGCUAACAGCUUACACCCUAAAUUAAAAGUUGUCAGCUAUUUUGUACUCAUACGCUGAAGGUUUUUAAUCGAGCUGAGGCAUUUGACAACCAUACCUCCAAUACUAAAGUACACUAAGUUCAUUCCUUGGCUUUUCCGAACGCAAAGCAUUCUUGAUUAUGAUUUGUAUACUUACAAAUUCGGAACAAUAUUGGGCUGCAAUCCAAGACCCAGAGGGAUGUCAUCAAUGAGCGCCUGUGGAUAGAGGUAGUAAAGGCAAGAGUCUGCGCGACAAGGUUGUUGUCAUCAAGAGGUGCUCCAGCUGCGGCAAGAGCAUCAGCAACCGUCUUGAUUUGCUACAGAUAGUCGAUGAUGCAGAAGCUACCCAAUUGCCCUACUUUUAGCUCAACAUAUUCGUGUAGUAUUAGCAUAGAGUUAUAGCAUAGAUUUAUUACCGUCAGUUCAUAGGAUCUGGUCAAGGCAGCAAGUUGGUGCUCGAGAGUGAGCCAAAGAGAGCUUGCAGAGGUAGAGCCAACUGCGAAAGGGAUGGAGAACUCAAAGAGAGAAGCAAUCAACCAAA